rnacentral:rRNA from 1 species
UACGUAGGGCGCAAGCGUUGUCCGGAAUUAUUGGGCGUAAAGAGCUCGUAGGCGGUUUGUCACGUCGGCUGUGAAAACCCGAGGCUCAACCUCGGGCCUGCAGUCGAUACGGGCAGACUAGAGUGCUGUAGGGGAGACUGGAAUUCCUGGUGUAGCGGUGAAAUGCGCAGAUAUCAGGAAGAACACCCGUGGCUAAGGCGGCUCUCUAGUACGGUACUGACGCUGAGACGCGAAAGCGUGGGGAGCGAACAGG